rnacentral:lncRNA from 1 species
AUGAUGAGGGAGAGCAGGACUCAGCGUCACUUCUCUGCCAACAGCACAAUGAAGAUGGGGAGCCACAAGCGCAGACUGGUUCUGUUACAAGAACCAAUGAAGACAGGUCACAAAGAUGGGGCCAACGACAAUAAUGUGAAGAUGUUGCUGAUGUGAUAAUGUAGAUGCUGAUGAAGUUGAAGCUGACACAAUUAAUGAUGAGUUUGCUGGACAUGGCACCUAAAUAGCUGAACUCUGAGACAUCCGGACUGCUUGUCUCUGGAGAGGUUCUGUAUCUGGAAGGCCAAGUAUGCACUACUUCUCUUCCUGUCUUACAACAGGAAGCAAACAUAGCCAUGGUGGGAUAGCCAGCACAGCCAGGGAACCAGGGAUGUGUGUCCUGCUCACAACAGCCUGUCUUUCUGAGGGACUUUGGGCAGUUGCUCAACCUUUCACUUACAUUUCUCCAUCGGUGCUUUAGCCGUUAACCCCACAUGUACUGGCUGGUUUUGUGUGUCAACUUACCACAGCUGGAGUUAUCGAAGAGAAUGGAGCCUCCCUUGAGGAAAUGCCUCUAUGAGAUCCAGCAGUAAGACAUUUUGUCAAUGAUCAAGGGCCCCUUGUAGAUGGUGCCAUCCCUGAGCUGGUAGUCAUGGGUUCUGUAAGAAAGCAAACUGAGCAAGCCAGUAAGUAACAUCCCUCCAUGGCCUCUGCAUCAGCUCCUGUAUCCUGACCUACUGACUUCCUUUGGUGAUGAACAGCAAUGUGGAAUUGUAAGCUGAAUAAACCCUUUCCUCCCCAACUUGCUUUUUGGUCAUGUUGUUUUGUGCAGGAAUAGAAACCCUGACUAAGAAACCACACUAUGGGCACUACUGGACUGGCUAUCCGGAAUAGAAGUAACUGGGCUUGCUGCUUGA